GCCAGGAGAGGUUUCGUGUGGGAUGUUUCAAAGCUAAUACACGCACUCAUACUUCUUCUGUUGUCUCUUUCUCUCUCACUAUUACUGCUUUUAAUAGGAAACUACGUUUCCAAUAGAUAUAUUCUGUAAAAGAUGUCGAUUUUCUUAUUCGCAAGACAUAACUAUUUGUAAGGAAAAAUAAUGAAGGCGGAAUAGAAAAUUAUUAUAUGGAUAACUGCAAUUAGUGAUUAUUGGAGCUGACUCUUUUCAUCAAUUAAAAUGUUCCAGAGAAAAUAAUGUGAAAAUUGAAAAGUUGUUGAGCUCACAACUUUCCUAACAGAGGUCUGUUAAUUUCUUUAUAGCCUCAAGUGACUCUACUGAUUAUAAAGAAUUUAUGCCAAAAAAAAAAACCACGUGCCAUCAUUUAUUGUCUAAUCAAACUGAUGAUGGAAAUUUGGUGAAUAUUUUCAUGGUAUUUUGUAUUUCAAGAAGAGACUUACAUUUUGUUUCCGGCAACACAUAAUAAACAAAUGGCAAUGAUAAAAAAACCACAAUUGCACACAAUAAAAAUACAUAUUUUUCGCCAAUUAAAUAAAUCAAUGGCUG